rnacentral:lncRNA from 1 species
AGCCGAGAGAGAGGGGGAACUGACGAGGAGAGUGAGAGAAAUGGUCGGAAGGCCGAUCCAAGCAAUCGACGGUGACCGCGAGUUUGUGUUUAGUUGCGUAUUGAUCCUUGCGGACUGAGCCAUUGGUUGUACUGAAGAUCUGUGAAGGCGGCUGUUACAGUUGAGAACCUUGAGAGCGAAUCAUGGAAUGGCAAUUCCGAUCGGGUCUGUGUACACGGGAUGGAAUGUUUGGAUGUGGAGCGAUGAUUCACGAUGU